UUUUGGUUAAAAAAAUAGAGUUAAUGCCACAUGAGAUCCUCCGAGUAUAUUGGUCUUGUCACGUUUAGUCCUAAACUUUCAAAUUGACCAUUUGUGGUCCUUCGACUUUCCAAUUUAACCAUUCA